rnacentral:rRNA from 1 species
GAGUUUGAUUAUGGCUCAGAACGAACGCUGGCGGCGCGUCUUGAGCAUGCAAGUCGAACGGCAAGAGAGGAGCUUGCUCUUCUCCUAGAGUGGCGGACUGGUGAGGAACACGUGGGUAAUCUACCCUUAAGAUGGGGAUAGCCGUUAGAAAUAGCGGGUAAUACCGAAUAGCCUUAAAGCCUCAUAAGAGGUUUUAAGGAAAGGAAGCUAAGGCUUCGCUUAAGGAUGAGCCUGCGUCCCAUUAGCUAGUUGGUAGGGUAAUGGCCUACCAAGGCGACGAUGGGUAUCCGGCCUGAGAGGGUGAUCGGACACAUUGGGACUGAGAUACGGCCCAAACUCCUACGGGAGGCAGCAGCUAAGAAUAUUCCGCAAUGGACGGAAGUCUGACGGAGCGACGCCGCGUGGAUGAAGAAGGCUGAAAAGUUGUAAAAUCCUUUUGCCGAUGAAGAAUAAGGAUAAGAGGGAAUGCUUGU